rnacentral:tRNA from 1 species
AUUUAUGUAAUAUAUAAUAGUAUAUUUAACUUCCAAUUAAAAAGAUUAAUAAACUUAACAUAAAUA